rnacentral:lncRNA from 1 species
CUCACAGACAGGAAGACAGUGAGCAGCACCUGUGUAACCUCACAGACAGGAAGACAGUGUUCAACGUGCUUCAUUCAGAACAACCUUUGGUCCGACAGAAAACAACAUUCAUUCAAACCAUUAUGCAACCUCUCUGUUGGAGUUAGAGGCUGGGGACGAUGUUGACAGUGGAACACUUUGUAACCUCCGGACUAAACUGUUGCUGUUAGCAGGUACUAUGUCUUUUUGUAACACUGUCUAUGGGUUGUUUAGAACAAACAGUGGGACCUCUAAGAUGAUAGAGGGAGAGAGAGACACGGGACCAGAACAGGACAGUUCUUUUGUGUCAGUGUUUUUGGAGGAAAUGUAAAGGAUACAUUUUAUACAAAAGUGAAGCCGCUUCAAAUACCCAAAACCCCUUGUCCCCUGAGCCUUCCCAAUCCCAAACAUAUACCCAGCCCUGCCCAGCCUCUACACUCACGUCACCUGGUCUAACCUAUUCAUGACAGGAUAUACCCAGCCCUGCCCAGCCUCUACCCUCGCUUCACCUGGUCUAACCUAUUCAUGACAGGAUAUACCCAGCCCUGCCCAGCCUCUACCCUCGCUUCACCUGGUCUAACCUAUUCAUGACAGGAUAUACCCAGCCCUGCCCAGCCUCUACCCUCGCUUCACCUGGUCUAACCUAUUCAUGACAGGAUAUACCCAGCCCUGCCCAGCCUCUACCCUCGCUUCACCUGGUCUAACCUAUUCAUGACAGGAUAUACCCAGCCCUGCCCAGCCUCUACACUCACUUCACCUGGUCUAACCUAUUCAUGACAGGAUAUACCCAGCCCUGCCCAGCCUCUACCCUCACUUCACCUGGUCUAACCUAUUCAUGACAGGAUAUACCCAGCCCUGCUUAGCCUCUACACUCACGUCACCUGGUCUAACCUAUUCAUGACAGGAUAUACCCAGCCCUGCCCAGCCUCUACCCUCACUUCACCUGGUCUAACCUAUUCAUGACAGGAUAUACCCAGCCCUGCCCAGCCUCUACCCUCACUUCACCUGGUCUAACAUAUUCAUGACAGGUCUAACCUAUUCCUGACAGGUCUGGUCUAACCUAUUCCUGACAGGUCUGGUCUAACCUAUUCCUGACAGGUCUGGUCUAACCUAUUCCUGACAGGUCUGGUCUAACCUAUUCAUGACAGGUCUGGUCUAACCUAUUCCUGACAGGUCUGGUCUAACCUAUUCCUGACAGGUCUGGUCUAACCUAUUCAUGACAGGUCUGGUCUAACCUAUUCAUGACAGGUCUGGUCUAACCUAUUCCUGACAGGUCUAACCUAUUCAUGACAGGCCAGGUCUAACCUAUUCAUGACAGGCCAGGUCUAACCUAUUCAUGACAGGCCUGGUCUAACCUAUUCAUGACAGGCCUGGUCUAACCUAUUCAUGACAGGCCAGGUCUAACAUAUUCAUGACAGGCCAGGUCUAACAUAUUCAUGACAGGCCAGGUCUAACCUAUUCAUGACAGGCCUGGUCUAACCUAUUCAUGACAGGCCAGGUCUAACCUAUUCAUGACAGGCCUGGUCUAACCUAUUCAUGACAGGUUUGGGUAAAUAACAGGAGAAAUGUGAUGACUAAAACACCAGAGAACUGGGGAGAAAAUAGGAGUCAACGUCAUAAACUGACUGACAUACAAUGAGUGUACAAAACAUUAAGAACACCUUCCUAAUAUUGACUUGCACCCUUUUGCCCUCAGAACAGCCUCAAUUUGUCGGGGUAUGGACUCUACAAGGUGUUGAAAGCGUUCCACGGGGAUGCAGUUGUGUCAAGUCAGCUGGAUGUCCUUUGGUUGGUUAACCAUUCUUGAUACACACGGGAAACUGUUGAGCGUGAAAAACCCAGCAACGUUGCAGUUCUUGACACAACGGUGCGCCCAGCACCUACUACCAUACCCUGUUCAAAGACACAUUUUUCUUGCCCACUCACCCUCUGAAUGUCCCACAUACACAAUCCAUGUCUCAAUUGUCUCAAGUCUUAAAAAUCCUUCUUUAACCUGUCCUUCACUGAUUGAAAUGGAUUUAACAAGUGACAUCAAUAAGGGAUAAUAGCUUUCACCUGGUCAGUCUAGGGGUGGCAGGUAGCCUAGUGGUUAGAGCGUUGGACUAGUAACCAAAAGGUUGCAAGAUCGAAUCCCUGAGCUGACAAGGUACAAAUCUGUCGUUCUGCCCCUGAACAAGGCAGUUAACCCACUGUUCCUAGGCCGUCAUUGAAAAUAAGAAUUUGUUCUUAACUGACUUGCCUAGUUAAAUAAAAGUAAAACGUAAUGGAAAGAACAGGUGUUUUUGUACACUCAUAAUGUUUUGUACACUCAGUGUAUAUGUAAAUAAAUGAAAUGUAUACACACAUUGAAAUGAAUUUCAAACCCAUUGAAGUGAAUGUAAUGUAUUUCAACACAGGGUAUUACAUUUGUAAAAAUGAAUCAAUCACUCACCACCAGCAUUUACUACAGGACUGAGUUCACGUCUCCGUGUUUCACAGCUGUGUUGUGAUUGGAUACGUUUUGCAGUUCUGGGCUCUCAUUGGAUGAUUUUGCCAGUUGUGGGCUUUCAUCUCACCCUGUGUCACUUGUUCUCAUUGAGUUAUUUGUUGUAAAUUGUCGCCAGCUGUUACUGUGUUAGACUGUCCUAUUAGGUCUCUGUUCUGUCUGUCACUCUGUCAGACUGUCCUAGCAGGACUCUGUUCUGACUGUCACUCUGUCAGACUGUCCUAGCAGGUCUCUGUUCUGACUGUCACUCUGUCAGACUGUUCUAGCAGGACUCUGUUCUGACUGUCACUCUGUCAGACUGAUCUAGUAGGACUCUGUUCUGACUGUCACUCUGUCAGACUGUCCUAGCAGGACUCUGUUCUGUCUGUCACUCUGUCAGACUGAUCUAGUAGGACUCUGUUCUGACUGUCACUCUGUCAGACUGUCCUAGCAGGACUCUGUUCUGUCUGUCACUCUGUCAGACUGUCCUAUUAGGACUCUGUUCUGACUGUCACUCUGUCAGACUGUCCUAGCAGGUCUCUGUUCUGACUGUGCUAGCAGGACUCUGUUCUGACUGUCCUAGCAGGUCUCUGUUCUGACUGUCCUAGCAGGUCUCUGUUCUGACUGUCCUAGCAGGUCUCUGUUCUGACUGUCCUAGCAGGUCUCUGUUCUGACUGUCCUAGCAGGUCUCUGUUCUGACUGUCCUAGCAGGUCUCCACAGCAUUCUGGGAGUACUGUUCUGUCUGUAAAGUCAAAUCCCCUGGUUGCUCGUUUUAUGUUUUCUAUUGUAAACAAUGAG